UUUGGGGCGUAUAGACCUGUGCAGGAGUUCAUCAAAUUCACUCACCCGAUGGAUUUUGACUUUUGAGCGGGUCGUCUUCUCGAACAAAAGUUCAUUUUGCGUUCAUUAUGCGACCCGCUCAAACGUCAUAAUUUCUUGGGAGAGUUCAUUUUGCGUUAGUCUAUUGUUUAACUGGGUGGCCCACCAAAUUCAAAUCAGAAUCAUCUACACGCUUAGUUCAGUUUACUUAUUUAUGGGUAAUUGGUUCACCCAUAUUUAGGUUUUAUACGCAUUACCUAUAUUAUAGGUAAAUUAUACUGAUAAAAUCAGUAAAGUUUACUGAUGUUAUUAGUAACACGAGUUUACCUAAAUAUAGGUAAUUUAACUUUACUCAUAUAUGGGUGAAAAAAUGAUCUUGUUUUGUUUGUGAUAGUAUUUCUCGAACUUCCGAACCUCGCUCCGAACCACACUUUUUAAAUGAACAGAAACUGUGAAUCUUUCCUAAAUAACACAUUUGUGCAGGAAAACAAUCCCAGCGUUAUUAAUUUCGUUUUUUUUGAAACAUAAAUAAUCACCGGAUCCCUACCAGCGGACCGGAAAUGCAAGCGGAAUCGGUCGAGACGGCAAUUCCUUUUCCAACUGAGUCGAGUGUUCGGUGCCGCUUGUUCCACGGCCGCUAGUUCUUGAUGAGAUUUUGUCAACACUGUGAGAUUCGUUGGAGCAGCGAACCACCCAGUUGACCGCUGCAGGAAGCGCAGCUGCAGCUCUGAUUCGAUGUCGGUUCCAGUAUCAUCCGGAUAGCAGAGUUGAAUUUAAAAGAUCUUUAUGUAUACCGAGAUGCAUACUGUGACUGGCCAUUAUUUCUAUAUUGAUCCGGAGCUGGUAGAUUACAGUUAUAAAUCCUUACUGUUAGCUGUUAGUGACGAGUCCAAGAAGCGGGGAGAUGUUAUCUCUAAGGAUAUUAAUCAUCUGAAUUGUUGAUGAAUUCAAAGCAGGAUGACGGAGUUGGUGAAGAACAACCGUCCGCGGAGGGAAGUUUCUAUGUUGCUGAAUAAUAAUUCGGAUAAAGAUAUUGAUUUGAAAGAUAUGUUCCCGAACUUUGAUGUGUCUGCUGUGAAUGAAAGUUUGUUUCGCGUUAUUAAUCUGAAGCUGCCCCUGAUGAAUCUUUUAUACAGCUGGUGCUCCUAUACCAUCAUCCAUGCUGCCACAAGAUCUGGAAUGGCAUGUCGUUAAACUUGUGCCUCUAUUGUCCGCUAAGUGGUAAUCCAGUUCCUGAUGCGAGUGACGUUCGUUUCACCAUACUGCACCGAACUUGCUGCUGAUGGAUAUAUUAGUACGUUCGUUCCAAUAGGUGCCAACUUGCAUCUGUUCCGGUUUCUGUUCUGAACCUACAUGCCACCAUUCUUACAGUAAUGUACUGUCAGGGAUUCAACAACACUAAUGAUUUUAUGUAAAUAAAUUAUAUAAAUCAAUCUCGAAAUAAAUAAAAUAAUU